rnacentral:rRNA from 1 species
CGUCUAGGCGGUCAGGUAAGUGGGAUGUGAAAUGCCCCGGCUCACCCGGGGACCGGCAUCUCAUACUGCUUGGCUUGAGUACGGGAGAGGAUGUGGGAAUUCCCGGUGUAGCGGUGAAAUGCGUAGAUAUCAGGAGGAACACCGGUGGCGAAGGCGCACAUCUGGCCCGAUACUGACGCUGAAGCGCGAAAGCUAGGGAGCAAACG